AUUGAACGCUGGCGGCAGGCUUAACACAUGCAAGUCGAACGAGUGGCGGACGGGUGAGUAAUACAUGGGAAUCUGGCUUAUGGCGGGGAAUACUUACGGGAACGUGUAGCUAAUCCCGAGUACAAUAGGAUGGGCCAAGGUGGGAUUAGCUAGUUGGUGGGGUAAAGGCUCACCAAGACAACGAUCCCUAGCUGGUCUGAGAGGAUGACCAGCCACACUGGGACUGAGACACGGCCCAGACUCCUACGGGAGGCAGCAGUGGGGAAUAUUGCGCAAUGGGGGAAACCUGACGCAGCCAUGCCGCGUGAAUGAAGAAGGCCUUCGGGUUGUAAAGUUCUUUCGGUAGCGAGGCGUUAACUACAGAAGAAGCACCGGCUAACUCCGUGCCAGCAGCCGCGGUAAUAC
rnacentral:rRNA from 1 species